GACGAACGCUGGCGGCGUGCUUAACACAUGCAAGUCGAACGGAAAGGCCCUUCGGGGUACUCGAGUGGCGAACGGGUGAGUAACACGUGGGUGAUCUGCCCUGCACUUUGGGAUAAGCCUGGGAAACUGGGUCUAAUACCGAAUAUGACUAUGACUCGCAUGGGUUGUGGUGGAAAGCUUUUGCGGUGUGGGAUGGGCCCGCGGCCUAUCAGCUUGUUGGUGAGGUUACGGCUCACCAAGGCGACGACGGGUAGCCGGCCUGAGAGGGUGACCGGCCACACUGGGACUGAGAUACGGCCCAGACUCCUACGGGAGGCAGCAGUGGGGAAUAUUGCACAAUGGGCGCAAGCCUGAUGCAGCGACGCCGCGUGAGGGAUGACGGCCUUCGGGUUGUAAACCUCUUUCGGUAGGGACGAAGCGCAAGUGACGGUACCUAUAGAAGAAGGACCGGCCAACUACGUGCCAGCAGCCGCCGGGUAAAAC
rnacentral:rRNA from 1 species